CUCAGAUCCAUGGCUGAGGUUGCCUGUACCCCCUGCACGGAGUUCUGCAAGGCCCCUCCUAUUACAUUGACGCAGCAGAGCAGACAUGUUGGAGGAGAGGAAGGAACUGAGACACUGAAUGAACUACCCUCAUGAACUGUGAAACUGCACCUGAAAGUCAGCAAGGUGACAAGGAUGUGACCCUUGGAAGGGAGAAGACCCACCAGGUGUCCUAGGGAGUAGUUCUCUUUUCUAUAGUUUCUCCACACUGCAUAUCCAGUGACAGACUGGGGAUCAGCAAAUUUCUGGGGAGUGGACUGAAGCAAGGAAGGAUCAUAAAGACAGCCUCACUUGGACACUGUGAAAGUGUCAGUGUUGGAAUAAGCCAGCCCUCUGAGGAUCUAUAGGGGCGUUUAAUUCCUGCAGCCCUGGAGAGUUGGAGAUUGGCUAAGAAGAACAGAAGCAGCAGCAUCUUCUCCGAAAGGCUGAUCAGGUCUGAAGUGGUGUGUGCCUUCUCCUUCCAGGCUUUUCAGUCCUAGAGGUGAAGGAGGAAAGGGCUGGCUCAGUGACCACCAAUUUCCUCCCAGUUCUAUUGCUUCUUAAGAUUAGAGCUUUCGUCACAUCCCUCUUCACUUCACAGAGAAGGGGUUGUGUCAUGAGGAUUUUGUAAGAAGCAUAUUUUUAGGCUAUUUAUAGCAUGAUCACAUUUACCAGGACAAAGCACUGGACACUUUCAAUGGAGAUGAAGCUUUGGGGGCCUUUCGUAUUAGCCAGAAAUGGUCUCCCUUUUCCAUUAGUGAGAUCCUCCAGGAAAAUGAAUAUGAUCCCAACAUGCCUUGAAUUUGUGAUUAGGCAACUGUCUACUUCCUAAAAUAGCAUGCAUCUAUGCAAUCCUACUCUUUGUAGAGCUCCAUUUUUGUGAUAGCACAAGGGUUUUAUUUUAUUUCUUAGUCUCAUUUUUGGUGUAAAAGCCAAAGUACCAUGCACUGGUCUCAUAGAACACAGUCGGCAAGAGUCUAGUCAUCCAUCAACUUCUUGGUAGUUACAAGCAACUGGAAACAGUUGGGGUGGGGGUGAGGAGCAGAGGUUAGGAAUGAAGUGCAGAUGGGGCAUUGAUGUGGGUGCAAGGAAGAAAAGGUCAUGACCGAAUAGGAGAGCUGAGAGGAGGUGUUUGACUGAGAAAUGCACUUGAGUUCCCUGUGUGGUCCUAGGUUGCCUGAUAAAGCUAACAUUGUUCUAAACUUCUUGAUAUUUUAAAGGUUAAAAGACCCCAGAGUUGAGUAGCUGUGGAAUGCAUAUAGAGGCUUAACCAGAAGAAACAAAGCUUUGCCACUCAUUCUGAGUUUGCUUGAUCACUCUUGUCCCACCAGGCACAGGUGACCUGGUGCCUCAGUGAAGACCACUUUGUAGGCAAAGAUUCUUCCCCAAAGCUCACUGUCUCUCAUGGGGAGCCUGGCAUGGAUACUCUCACAGUUCACUAGGCGCAAGAGCUUGAGGGCUGUCAGCUAUUGGAUCUCAGAAGUCUAGAGGCAUGAUGUUACUAAGAAUGCAAACAAUCAGCCUGACAGUUCAAAUUAUUGUUCUUUGUUCUUACAUAUUUGACAUAGAUAUGUGAAGACUUCUGAAGUCUUACCUGAAACUGGGUAUAAUGCUUAUGCUGCUUUUGCAUCUGUUGGAUCAGUCAUUACCCAGAAGGUAGAACAUGUCAACUAUCUUCUCAUUUUCAUUCUGUGUCCCAGACUUGGUUGUUGCUUACAGGGGAUAUCACCGUUCUCCUACCUUUGAUGACUUAUGCCUGCUUGCCACCCUCAAUUUGGAAACCACAAAUGUAUUCAACAAUGUUGUAGUGAUUUAUUAAUCAAAUGUGUGCAAACAUGUUGGGUUAUGAAAUAUCUAUUAAAGAAUGUCUGUGAAGUUUUGGAAGCAUAGAAAAUCAAAGAUGAUAGAAUGUAAUUUUGACCCAAAGCAGGUUUUAUCAUGUGAGAUCAUUUUUUCCACAUAAAACCACGAAAGUUUUCACAAUUUCCAUAGCUUGUUUUGUUACCGAAACUGAAGAGUGUUACCUCCUGGCAAAUUAAUCAAACUCUCCACAAGGGGUAGUUGUGUCACACAGUAAAGUAUAUUAGCAGCAAAUAGGACACCAUGAGGAAUCAUUUCUGGAGUCAUGGCAUCCCUGAACAAAGGGAAACAAGGACAGUUCUUUCAGAUGGAGAAUUGAUAUUCAAAAAAGAGAGUUGGGUAUUCACCUGUGCAGGCUCAGGUGGAAAACAUACUUCCAUAUACACUGCAGAGUUUGAUAAUAAGAUCUAAGCUCCUACUGGAGAGAUCUUAGCAUUAAAAAUAAGGCAAAGGUCAUAGGAGUAGCUCCUUGGUGAGGUUUGGUCUGGUUCAGGGUGGUUGGUGAUUCCAUCUCCUUAACAUAACAAAAGAAAAAAGAACAAUUUGGAAAAACUGUUCAAAUAUCCAAAGCCACCCUGUAGUUCCUCGGAGUAUCUAAUCAGUGAAGUUUCUUGUACAAUUGGCUGUGCUGCACAUUUUUCUGAGAGAGAACUUUCCCCUGAGCUGUUGGCACGCUACGUAGGGCUACACAUUCACCCAACAAAUGACUCAGACCCCAAUUCUCUCAUGGUGAUCCGUGGAUCCAGAUCAUAUUGGCAGUCACUCACCUCUUUCUGCUCUACUUCUGCCCCUCAUUGCCCCCUCUCUCGUCUGGCCCACAUUUAGCUCAUCAUAACUCUGCUAUUCUGACAAAGGGCAAAAGGCAUCUGUGUCUGUGCUCAGCCAUCAUAUCUGGAGAGAAGCUUGGCUGCUCUUCUGAGGCUCUCAUUACUAAAUUUGUAAUUGCUUUAGAAUUUUUCUGUGAACACUAAGAGAAAACUAAGAAGGUAAAUGAACAGAGCAUUAGAGAUGUGUGGGUCACUGAGCGCAAUAUACUUGUAAUGGGAGUCCCAGAAGGAGAGGAGAGACAGAAAGGAGUGGAAAAACAUAUGAGAAGAAAUAAUGGUUGAAAGUUUCUCAAUUUUAGUGACACAACCCCCAAACAAACCAAAACUAUUAAUCUACACACUGAAGAGAACUCCAAGGAGGAGAAAGUACCAUAGAAGAUUGGGCAAGAUUUCUUCCAUUCCUCCUUCCCUUCUACCCUAGAUCUCAUGGUCUCAUUUCCAGCCCAGCCUUCUCUUCAGACAGCACCUCUGGCUCAUUCUCACCCACAGCUGCUGCUUCUAUAUCAUGUCAACAGGGAGAUGUGCUGGGAUGGAGCUACUUCUGAGUCUGUGACAUCAACCACACAUGAUGCCUCUUCUGUUUAACCUAGAACCCAGAGAGCUCAAAGGAAAAUGUGGCUCUAACAAUGCCGUACAUGUGCAGAGGAGGUCUCUUCCCACUUCCUCCAAAUAGCUUCUUCUAUCAUUAGAACUUUAUUCCUUUUGUCUUACAAGAGAUUCUUUUUUUACUAUUACUUUUUAAAUUGUGGUUAUAUACACAUAACAUAAAAUUUAGCUUUUAUCCAUUUUUAAGGGUACACUUCAGGAACAUUAAGUAUAUUCACAUUGUAUUGCAACCAUCAUGACAAUCCAUCUCCGGUUAUUUCAUCUUCCCAAAUGGAAACUCCAAACCCAUGAAACAGUCACUUCCCUUGCCCUCUCCCCCUAUUGCCUGGGAAUCACCAUUCUGCUUCUUGUCUCCAUAAAUUUGUGACUGAUUCUUAUGUAAAUGCAAGAGCCUUGAACAUGCUCUCAUUUUAAGCCUUACAUCUUAUUUAUCAAUUGGACCUUAUUAAGCAGUAAACCAACACUAGGCAAGCAGAGAUUGGAAGAAAAGUGGAAGGGUAAAAGGAAGAGCUGGGGAGGGGGCAAGCACUUGCACACAACCCUGCCUGAAUUUAUCCAUCUUCCUCCCACCACCACGAGGAAUUCGAGGUUCCUUGUAGUUUUCCUGAAUGUGUUCAGGUGGGAUAGAGACGCCUGGCUCUUCACACUUUUGGAUAUAUUGGAAGAUAAACAGAGAGAUGAGAAUGAUAUUUCUUCAUCUUAAUGAGGUACUGAUGUCAUCAUGAACAACGGAAAAGUGCUCGAAGCCUAGUGAAGGCUUCUUUUCUUGUUUCCAAGGAAAGAAGAGCCCCAGUGAAGAGUGACUGCCUCCACCUGGGCUCUGCUCCUCUGCCCUUUCUACACAACUCUUUAUCCUGUGUAGUGGGUAUAUAAGCAGCAUUGUCUCCAGAAACCUUGUCCAUAGUGCUGAUCCUCAAUGGAGCUGCUCAGUAGGGUGGAGGAUGGGAUCAUCCUCCACUUAUCUGGUCUCCUUCACUACCUGACAGGUUAACUUAGUGUGAGAAAGCUCACUUGAACCUGGGUCUAGGAGGCACAGGCUUUGGUCUCUAAGGCAAAUUCUAGAAGCCAGAGGACAGGUCGGGUCACUAGAAGACAAGAUGUUUAGUGCCUGGGACAGUCUGUGGAGGUGGAUAUGGUGGGGAAUGGAGCUCUUUGUCAAGAUUGCUACACACUGAGUUGGGGCUCCUGGCUUCUGUGGGCAGCAUGGCAGUCUUGUGGCAUGGCCCGGCUCCUUCCUUAGUUCUCAGUGUCUCCAUGCUGUGAUGAGGAGCUCUGUACCAAGCAUGCUUCAGAUAUAUAUUACAAGGAAAGUUUCUGGCCUUAGGGCAGACUGUCCAAAAGACCUGGAAAACAAUUUCUCCUGCCUAUGCCAGUUGCUUCUUUGUCCCUGAGUAUCUCAGAUCCAUGUGUCCUUCUCCCUUUCAGGAUGAGGCUGGUCCCUAAGGCCCAAAUAUUUUGAGCUGAUCAGGCAGAAUACAGUGGUAUCUUUCUCUUACAUCCUGAGUUGGAUACAUGAGAAAUACCCAUAAAAGUUUCCUUAAUGCAGUAGUGAAUAAUACACGUUUGCUUUGGCUUGCAUGUGUGUGGGAGACGGCCACAUGGGUUUCUGAACUCCUGAAUGGAUUUAACUUCCUAAGGCCUUGAGCUCUCUCUCUGAACAAUGAGGGCAGAUACAAGGGAUGGGAAAUCAGAGUGAGAUGGGGAAAUGGGCAGGAGGGGGUUGGGUGGGAGCCAAUCUCCACCUGGGCCUUUGGAGCAUUGGUGAGGCAACACUCUGAUCGUUUAGUUGGGUUCUGGGUAUCUGCCCUGGUAGAGCUGAGUGGCUCAGGAAUAGAGGGACACUAAGGUGGAGGCGACACCUAGGAAACUAUUAGUAGUAAGCUCUUCUAUUCUUGAUGCAGAAUCAUAUUCUUGGGCAGUUGCUGAGUCAGCCUGACCACACUCACUAGGAGGAAGUACUGGGCUCUCAGAAGGAAUGAAUAUGGCUUUGGGGGACUCUGGCCUGAGUCAGAGUGAUGUUCCCCACCUUGGUUGAAUUCUGAAUGGUCAAAUAGCCUGAAUAUCACCCCACAAUGCCUUGCAUGUGUGGUUAGAUGCAUACUUCCUACAAUAUCAUAACUAGAUUCAAUCCUUUCCUUUUUAGUUUUUCACUGUUGGAGAUCCUGAGCCCAUUUAUGAUAUUCAUGCAAAAAUACCAAGCUCUUGUCUCACCUGAAACAUGCUAGGUGACAGCCCCUGAUCCAUUACCUUCUUUGUAGUUUCAGACAAUGACAGAAUCUUGGGUGUGGGGCCGCAGCAGGGAGAUUGGGGAGGAAGUGGAGAUGGGGUGUUAAGGAGAGUAGGAGGAAGGUAAGGAGAGAGCAGAUGCGGAGCCUUUGAGGAGGGUUGAGGACCAUUGUGCUUGAGUUCAGUGUGUGCUCCCUGAAGACUGCUUUAGUUCCAAGUGAGGUAACUAAGCAUGAACUUGUCAUGGUUUUAUGAGUUCCCAGUCAAGUCAGUAGGGCCUUUAGUGAACAGAGGUUGCACCUGGAGAAAGAGAGUGGGAGGAAUUGUGUCCUUUUGCAGUAGAGUUCAGUGUGCCUAACACUAAUGCCAGAGCUCUGCUGCUGAGGUUUCCUUAAUAGAGAAGAGUGCAGAGAUGUGGGAGGUGGUUGGGCUGGCCUCUGGGAUGGUCAGGAGCGAACUGUCUCCUGGAGGUGAGCACUGUGAGGUGUGGAAAUCUUUUCAGCAGAGCAGCUGGAGGCAGAGAGCUGCCUGGGAAGUGCUGACAGGCACAGAAAGACCUGGAGGUGAGACAUGUCUGGGGAUUGAGUCUUGAGACUGGGCUCUAAGUAGAUGUCACAGAAAGGAACUGCUGAAUGGAGGACUCUUCCUCUGCUCUCUACUCCUCUCUCCCCACUAUCAAAUAUUCUUUCCAUUUACCAAUGCAAGCAUUUAAUAAUGAGACUGUUAUCCUCCAAAACAUGGUUGUAAAGGACAAUGUCUGUGGAUACAUGGUACCGAAUAUAGAGACUGACUGAGUAUUGUUAGAGAUGUAUUCUUGAUUAAAAUUUUGUGGAUAAAUGGCUUACAUUGAAUAUUAGACCAAUGACUUUUUGAUAAGCUAGUCCCGUAAUACAAUGGUCACAUUUACCAAAGCAUUUCUGUGUAUAGUCACUUGGAUUUGACAAAACAUGACUUCAGCGAGUAUUCCAUUUAAGAUCAUGGAAAUUGCAAAACUUCAGAUGGUAAAUGUCACACUGCGAUGAGUAAAGACUUUUUUUUCCAAUUAGAUUUUUGAGGUCAUAUGGUUUAUAAGAUUGUGUAAUUUCACGUGUACAUUAUUAUUGAUCAUUUUUCUGUAUAGACUUAAAGAGUAAUUUACAUUUUGCUGGAGGUAGAAAAAUCUGCCACCUCAUUCUGCAUGGUUCUCUUAAGAAGGUAUUUAUAUCAUGAUUAAAGUAUGUGACUUCAGUAAGCGCUUCUUUGAAUAUGACCUAAUCUUUACUGUAAAAUUUAUGUUAUUUUAG
rnacentral:lncRNA from 1 species